AGAAGUAUCACCCAGUUAGUGUCUGAAUUAGGGCUGGGACUUAACACAUUCAUUUCUAUUAAUUAAUUACAGAAACAAAUAACGCGUUUAAUCGCACCUUUGUAGUUCACUAAUUCUGUCCCACCGGGAACACUGAUGAACACUCCAGCCCAGCAGGUGACGAUAAUGGAGCUAAUGUUUGGAGCUACGUUUUGGGGGUUUUCUAGUUCUUCUGGAGCUAAGUUAUGGAGUUUUUCUAGUUCUUCUGGAGCUAAGUUAUGGGGUUUUUCUAGUUCUUCUGGAGCUAAGUUAUGGGUUUUUCUAGUUCUUCUGGAGCUAAGUUAUGGGGUUUUUCUAGUUCUUCUGGAGCUAAGUUAUGGAGUUUUUCUAGUUCUUCUGGAGCUAAGUUAUGGGGUUUUUCUAGUUCUUCUGGAGCUAAGUUAUGGGUUUUUCUAGUUCUUCUGGAGCUAAGUUAUGGGGUUUUUCUAGUUCUUCUGGAGCUAAGUUAUGGAGUUUUUCUAGUUCUUCUGGAGCUAAGUUAUGGGGUUUUUCUAGUUCUUCUGGAGCUAAGUUAUGGGUUUUUCUAGUUCUUCUGGAGCUAAGUUAUGGGGUUUUUCUAGUUCUUCUGGAGCUAAGUUAUGGAGUUUUUCUAGUUCUUCUGGAGCUAAGUUAUGGGGUUUUUCUAGUUCUUCUGGAGCUAAGUUAUGGGGUUUUUCUAGUUCUUCUGGAGCUAAGUUAUGGGUUUUUCUAGUUCUUCUGGAGCUAAGUUAUGGGGUUUUUCUAGUUCUUCUGGAGCUAAGUUAUGGAGUUUUUCUAGUUCUUCUGGAGCUAAGUUAUGGGGUUUUUCUAGUUCUUCUGGAGCUAAGUUAUGGGGUUUUUCUAGUUCUUCUGGAGCUAAGUUAUGGGGUUUUUCUAGUUCUUCUGGAGCUAAGUUAUAGGGUUUCUAGUUAUUCUGGAGCUAAGUUAUAGGGUUUCUAGUUAUUCUGGAGCUAAGUUAUGGGGUUUCUAGUUAUUCUGGAGCUAAGUUAUGGGGUUUUUCUAGUUCCUCUGGAGCUAAGUUAUGGGGUUUUUCUAGUUAUUCUGGAGCUAAGUUAUAGGGUUUGUAGUUCUUCUGGAGCUAAGUUAUAGGGUUUCUAGUUCUUCUGGAGCUAAGUUAAAGGGUUUGUAGUUAUUCUGGAGCUAAGUUAUGGGGUUUUUCUAGUUAUUCUGGAGCUACGUUAUGGGGUUUUCUAGUUAUUCUGGAGCUAAGUUAUGGGGUUUUUCUAGUUAUUCUGGAGCUACGUUAUGGGUUUUCUAGUUAUUCUGGAGCUAAGUUAUGUUUUUUUUUUUUAGUUAUUCUGGAGCUACGUUAUGGGGUUUCUAGUUCUUCUGGAGCUAAGUUAUGGGGUUUUUCUAGUUCCUCUGGAGCUAAGUUAUGGGGUUUUUCUAGUUAUUCUGGAGCUAAGUUAUAGGGUUUCUAGUUCUUCUGGAGCUAAGUUAAAGGGUUUGUAGUUAUUCUGGAGCUAAGUUAUGGGGUUUUUCUAGUUAUUCUGGAGCUACGUUAUGGGGUUUUCUAGUUAUUCUGGAGCUAAGUUAUGUUUUUUUUUUUUAGUUAUUCUGGAGCUACGUUAUGGGUUUUCUAGUUAUUCUGGAGCUAAGUUAUGGUUUUUUUUUUAGUUAUUCUGGAGCUACGUUAUGGGUUUUCUAGUUAUUCUGGAGCUACGUUAUGGGUUUUCUAGUUAUUCUGGAGCUACGUUAUGGGUUUUCUAGUUAUUCUGGAGCUAAGUUAUGGGUUUGUAGUUCUUCUGGAGCUAAGUUAUAGGGUUUCUAGUUCUUCUGGAGCUAAGUUAUGGGGUUUUUCUAGUUCUUCUGGAGCUAAGUUAUGGGGUUUCUAGUUCUUCUGGAGCUAAGUUAUGGGGUUUUUCUAGUUAUUCUGGAGCUAAGUUAUGGGGUUUUUCUAGUUCUUCUGGAACUAAGUUAUGGGGUUUUUCUAGUUCUUCUCGAGCUAAGUUAUGGGGUUUUUCUAGUUCCUCUGGAGCUAAGUUAUGGGGUUUUUCUAGUUAUUCUGGAGCUAAGUUAUAGGGUUUGUAGUUCUUCUGGAGCUAAGUUAUAGGGUUUCUAGUUCUUCUGGAGCUAAGUUAAAGGGUUUGUAGUUAUUCUGGAGCUAAGUUAUGGGGUUUUUCUAGUUAUUCUGGAGCUACGUUAUGGGGUUUUCUAGUUAUUCUGGAGCUAAGUUAUGGGGUUUUUCUAGUUAUUCUGGAGCUAAGUUAUGGUUUUUUUUUUAGUUAUUCUGGAACUACGUUAUGGGUUUUCUAGUUAUUCUGGAGCUAAGUUAUGGUUUUUUUUUUAGUUAUUCUGGAGCUACGUUAUGGGUUUUCUAGUUAUUCUGGAGCUACGUUAUGGGUUUUCUAGUUAUUCUGGAGCUACGUUAUGGGUUUUCUAGUUAUUCUGGAGCUAAGUUAUGGGUUUGUAGUUCUUCUGGAGCUAAGUUAUGGGGUUUUUCUAGUUCUUCUGGAGCUAAGUUAUGGAGUUUUUCUAGUUCUUCUGGAACUAAGUUAUGGGGUUUUUCUAGUUCUUCUGGAGCUAAGUUAUGGGGUUUUUCUAGUUAUUCUGGAGCUAAGUUAUAGGGUUUGUAGUUCUUCUGGAGCUAAGUUAUAGGGUUUCUAGUUCUUCUGGAGCUAAGUUAAAGGGUUUGUAGUUAUUCUGGAGCUAAGUUAUGGGGUUUUUCUAGUUAUUCUGGAGCUACGUUAUGGGGUUUUCUAGUUAUUCUGGAGCUAAGUUAUGGGGUUUUUCUAGUUAUUCUGGAGCUACGUUAUGGGUUUUCUAGUUAUUCUGGAGCUAAGUUAUGUUUUUUUUUUUAGUUAUUCUGGAGCUACGUUAUGGGGUUUUUCUAGUUCUUCUGGAGCUAAGUUAUGGGGUUUUUCUAGUUCCUCUGGAGCUAAGUUAUGGGGUUUUUCUAGUUCUUCUGGAGCUAAGUUAUGGGGUUUCUAGUUCUUCUGGAGCUAAGUUAUGGGGUUUUUCUAGUUCUUCUGGAGCUAAGUUAUGGGGUUUUUCUAGUUCUUCUGGAACUAAGUUAUGGGGUUUUUCUAGUUAUUCUGGAGCUAAGUUAUGGUUUUUUUUUUUUAGUUAUUCUGGAGCUACGUUAUGGGUUUUCUAGUUAUUCUGGAGCUAAGUUAUGGUUUUUUUUUUAGUUAUUCUGGAGCUACGUUAUGGGUUUUCUAGUUAUUCUGGAGCUACGUUAUGGGUUUUCUAGUUAUUCUGGAGCUACGUUAUGGGUUUUCUAGUUAUUCUGGAGCUAAGUUAUGGGUUUGUAGUUCUUCUGGAGCUAAGUUAUGGGGUUUUUCUAGUUCUUCUGGAGCUAAGUUAUGGAGUUUUUCUAGUUCUUCUGGAACUAAGUUAUGGGGUUUUUCUAGUUCUUCUGGAGCUAAGUUAUGGGGUUUUUCUAGUUAUUCUGGAGCUAAGUUAUAGGGUUUGUAGUUCUUCUGGAGCUAAGUUAUAGGGUUUCUAGUUCUUCUGGAGCUAAGUUAAAGGGUUUCUAGUUCUUCUGGAGCUAAGUUAUGGGGUUUUUCUAGUUAUUCUGGAGCUACGUUAUGGGGUUUUCUAGUUAUUCUGGAGCUAAGUUAUGGGGUUUUUCUAGUUAUUCUGGAGCUACGUUAUGGGUUUUCUAGUUAUUCUGGAGCUAAGUUAUGUUUUUUUUUUUUUAGUUAUUCUGGAGCUACGUUAUGGGGUUUUUCUAGUUCUUCUGGAGCUAAGUUAUGGGGUUUUUCUAGUUCCUCUGGAGCUAAGUUAUGGGGUUUUUCUAGUUAUUCUGGAGCUAAGUUAUAGGGUUUGUAGUUCUUCUGGAGCUAAGUUAUAGGGUUUCUAGUUCUUCUGGAGCUAAGUUAAAGGGUUUGUAGUUAUUCUGGAGCUAAGUUAUGGGGUUUUUCUAGUUAUUCUGGAGCUAAGUUAUGAGUUUUUCUAGUUAUUCUGGAGCUAAGUUAUGGGUUUUCUAGUUAUUCUGGAGCUAAGUUAUGGGGUUUUUCUAGUUAUUCUGGAGCUACGUUAUGGGGUUUUCUAGUUAUUCUGGAGCUAAGUUAUGGGGUUUUUCUAGUUAUUCUGGAGCUAUGUUAUGGGUUUUUCUAGUUAUUCUGGAGCUAAGUUAUGGGGUUUUUCUAGUUAUUCUGGAGCUAAGUUAUGGGGUUUUUCUAGUUCUUCUGGAGCUAAGUUAUGGGGUUUCUAGUUCUUCUGGAGCUAAGUUAUGGGGUUUUUCUAGUUCUUCUGGAGCUAAGUUAUGGGGUUUUUCUAGUUCUUCUGGAACUAAGUUAUGGGGUUUUUCUAGUUAUUCUGGAGCUAAGUUAUGGUUUUUUUUUUUAGUUAUUCUGGAGCUACGUUAUGGGUUUUCUAGUUAUUCUGGAGCUAAGUUAUGGUUUUUUUUUUAGUUAUUCUGGAGCUACGUUAUGGGUUUUCUAGUUAUUCUGGAGCUACGUUAUGGGUUUUCUAGUUAUUCUGGAGCUACGUUAUGGGUUUUCUAGUUAUUCUGGAGCUAAGUUAUGGGUUUGUAGUUCUUCUGGAGCUAAGUUAUGGGGUUUUUCUAGUUCUUCUGGAGCUAAGUUAUGGAGUUUUUCUAGUUCUUCUGGAACUAAGUUAUGGGGUUUUUCUAGUUCUUCUGGAGCUAAGUUAUGGGGUUUUUCUAGUUAUUCUGGAGCUAAGUUAUAGGGUUUGUAGUUCUUCUGGAGCUAAGUUAUAGGGUUUCUAGUUCUUCUGGAGCUAAGUUAAAGGGUUUGUAGUUAUUCUGGAGCUAAGUUAUGGGGUUUUUCUAGUUAUUCUGGAGCUACGUUAUGGGGUUUUCUAGUUAUUCUGGAGCUAAGUUAUGGGGUUUUUCUAGUUAUUCUGGAGCUACGUUAUGGGUUUUCUAGUUAUUCUGGAGCUAAGUUAUGUUUUUUUUUUUUUAGUUAUUCUGGAGCUACGUUAUGGGGUUUUUCUAGUUCUUCUGGAGCUAAGUUAUGGGGUUUUUCUAGUUCCUCUGGAGCUAAGUUAUGGGGUUUUUCUAGUUAUUCUGGAGCUAAGUUAUAGGGUUUGUAGUUCUUCUGGAGCUAAGUUAUAGGGUUUCUAGUUCUUCUGGAGCUAAGUUAAAGGGUUUGUAGUUAUUCUGGAGCUAAGUUAUGGGGUUUUUCUAGUUAUUCUGGAGCUAAGUUAUGAGUUUUUCUAGUUAUUCUGGAGCUAAGUUAUGGGUUUUCUAGUUAUUCUGGAGCUAAGUUAUGGGGUUUUUCUAGUUAUUCUGGAGCUACGUUAUGGGGUUUUCUAGUUAUUCUGGAGCUAAGUUAUGGGGUUUUUCUAGUUAUUCUGGAGCUAUGUUAUGGGUUUUUCUAGUUAUUCUGGAGCUAAGUUAUGGGGUUUUUCUAGUUAUUCUGGAGCUAAGUUAUGGGGUUUUUCUAGUUAUUCUGGAGCUAAGUUAUGGGUUUGUAGUUCUUCUGGAGCUAAGUUAUGGGGUUUUUCUAGUUCUUCUGGAGCUAAGUUAUGGAGUUUUUCUAGUUCUUCUGGAACUAAGUUAUGGGGUUUUUCUAGUUCUUCUGGAGCUAAGUUAUGGGGUUUUUCUAGUUAUUCUGGAGCUAAGUUAUAGGGUUUGUAGUUCUUCUGGAGCUAAGUUAUAGGGUUUCUAGUUCUUCUGGAGCUAAGUUAAAGGGUUUGUAGUUAUUCUGGAGCUAAGUUAUGGGGUUUUUCUAGUUAUUCUGGAGCUACGUUAUGGGGUUUUCUAGUUAUUCUGGAGCUAAGUUAUGGGGUUUUUCUAGUUAUUCUGGAGCUACGUUAUGGGUUUUCUAGUUAUUCUGGAGCUAAGUUAUGUUUUUUUUUUUUAGUUAUUCUGGAGCUACGUUAUGGGGUUUUUCUAGUUCUUCUGGAGCUAAGUUAUGGGGUUUUUCUAGUUCCUCUGGAGCUAAGUUAUGGGGUUUUUCUAGUUAUUCUGGAGCUAAGUUAUAGGGUUUGUAGUUCUUCUGGAGCUAAGUUAUAGGGUUUCUAGUUCUUCUGGAGCUAAGUUAAAGGGUUUGUAGUUAUUCUGGAGCUAAGUUAUGGGGUUUUUCUAGUUAUUCUGGAGCUAAGUUAUGAGUUUUUCUAGUUAUUCUGGAGCUAAGUUAUGGGUUUUCUAGUUAUUCUGGAGCUAAGUUAUGGGGUUUUUCUAGUUAUUCUGGAGCUACGUUAUGGGGUUUUCUAGUUAUUCUGGAGCUAAGUUAUGGGGUUUUUCUAGUUAUUCUGGAGCUAUGUUAUGGGUUUUUCUAGUUAUUCUGGAGCUAAGUUAUGGGGUUUUUCUAGUUAUUCUGGAGCUAAGUUAUGGGGUUUUUCUAGUUAUUCUGGAGCUAAGUUAUGGGGUUUUUCUAGUUAUUCUGGAGCUAAGUUAUGGGGUUUUUCUAGUUAUUCUGGAGCUAAGUUAUGGGUUUUCUAGUUACUCUGCUGUUGGCUACAGACCGACACACUGCUGCUUCGGUACCACCCGUGUGAUUUUAAUAAGAUCAGUUUUCAGCUCAGAUUUGGUGAAGUUUCCAGACCAAAUGUCAUUUCACACAGUAGUUUUUAUGUUUCAAAGGUUUAAUUGUCUUUCUGCAGCCCACUAAUUUCUAAUGUUUGCGGGUCUUUUUCUGUGUUUUCUUGUUCUUUCCCGUCACACUAACCACCUCCUCUCCCUGCUGGU